rnacentral:rRNA from 1 species
UACGGGGGGGGCAAGCGUUGUUCGGAAUUACUGGGCGUAAAGGGCUCGUAGGCGGCCAACUAAGUCAGACGUGAAAUCCCCAGGCUUAACUUGGGAACUGCGUCUGAUACUGGGAGGCUUGAGUGCGGGAGAGGGAUGUGGAAUUCCAGGUGUAGCGGUGAAAUGCGCAGAUAUCAGGAGGAACACCGGUGGCGAAGGCGGGUCUCUGGGCAGUAACUGACGCUGAGGAGCGAAAGCGUGGGGAGCGAACAGG